GAACUAAAAAACUGGUGGAGGGAGGGAGCGCUGGUGGAGGGAGGGUAGAGGAAGGGAGUGGAGGGUGCAGAGUGUCAGGAAGAGGAAGAGCGAGAAUGUUGCAGGGAAAGUACUGGUCUGUGCUGCGUGUGGGAAGUGACUUUAGUGGCGGCGUGAAGGCGAGGACACGAGUGAGGUGCUGGCAGGCUGACUGAGGACGGUGACCUCAAGACUUAGAAACACUUAACGUAACCUGACGGGGGGAACACCUUCUUUCUCCCGCAGCGCAAUGGACCAACACGAAUAGCUGGAGCUCGGGGGACAGGCGCGCGAAGGCAGACGGCGACAGAUUCGUGACUCAAAACAAAAGCAUCGUGACAGCACAAGUGGGAGCGUCCGUCAUUCUUCACUGCAAGACCUCAAGUGCGACUGGCGGCCUGAUUUUUUAAAGAAUACGCUGCUCUGAGGCAAGCACUGAGAAACCAGGAAUGUCAUGGCCUCCAAUACGAUGACUGGUGAGGUAAACAAGUUAUGUCACUCGUGAUGGCGCAGGCGGCGAGUGGAGGCGAGGCUGCCCACCGCAUCCAUCCUCUGAGUGGCAUUAGUGCAGGAGUCCUUGUCUCAUCAGCCUCGGCCUCCACAAACACGGGCUGCUUUAACACUUGUGAAUACAAGGCAAAAAACAUGGUGUCUUGGAUCAGGAAGAGGGACUACCAGCUCCUGACGGUGAGUCUGUACACACACUCCAGUGACGACCGCUUCUCCAUCAACUACGUGCAUUGGCUGUGAAGAACAUGCGAGCACUUGGGAGUUGCUUCCAUCAUGAGAGUGUCCCUCAAGAGUAGGAGCCACCCCUCUCACUGACCUGAGUCACCUGACCCUAUCAGAUUGACACAGAAGAGUGAAGGACUGCCUGCUGCCUUGAUGCAAGAAAGUUUAGGCUGCCAUCUCACUCUUGCAUUGACAGCUGAUUUGUACUGAAGCCCACCAGUCCAGUCAAGCCAGGAGGGACCAGGUGAUCAGUGCUGAGGAGUGGAGAGUGGGCUGGCAGGAAUUAGAAGCUUUAAGAGGUUCUGAAGAAGAGAUGAAGUGGAAGAUGAACCUGGGGGCUGUCAGCUUUGUGGAAUCCUGGUAAAAUUGGAGGAUGAACUCCGCUGCCUGUCAAAUCCGUCCUGAAGUGAAGUGCUCUGACUGAAUUGGGCCUUCCGUCAUCACAGUUGAAGAGAACCCAGCUCUGUCUGAACCCUGCCUGUCAGUUGCUAAACAUUGCAGAAGAUGGAGCCGUGGGUGAACCAAAGCCAUACGUGAACCCGGCAAGAAAGUGGUGUUGCUGUCCUGAGGCUCAGGAGCACCAAUUCACUGUCCACCCUUCUUCAUCAUGGAAAGAUGUGUAUGAACAAAGAAAUUACUUGAUGAAAAAUAAAACUCACUGUAAUUUGUCAAAUUUAAUAAUUGUAUUGUGAAAAAAAAAUUAAAUUUGCUUAAUAAUUAUGACUCAAUGUAA